UAGUUGGAGAAAACCCAAUAAACUUGCCAUAUCUGACAAUUUAUAUUCUUUUUAAAAUUUUAUUUUAUACGAAUUCUUGACUCCGCUACUAUUGUGGCAUGGCUAGGGUUUAACAAUAGUGGAAUAUUCUAAUCAUUCUACAAGAUUCUUUUUUUUUUAGGUCAAGUUAAUCAAGAAUGGUUUGGUGCAAUUAUUUUUGCGAUCAUUGUGCAAGAUUUAUUCAACCCUAUUAUUAUGGUGACUUAGUAUGUUGUAGUUUAUGUGGGAAAGUCAUUCAUGAAGACAAUUUUGUCAAAACUAUGGCACGCCAGAUCGAAUGAUAUGCUAAAGAUGGGAGCUUUUAUAUCAGAAAUAAUGGUAUCUCCAAUUAUAGCUCCUUUGAAACAGUAAGAAAAUUGAUCCUGAAAUAGAGAAAAACUAUGAAGAAAUGGUUGAGGAAGACACAGAAUAUGGAGAGAAUAAAAAUUACACAAAGAUAGAAGAAGAAUGUAAUUCAAGAAGAGUUUGGUGCGAUUAUUGUGUGAAAUCAAUCAGUCCACCACAGUAUUUUGUUAACAAAAUAUGUUGUUCCUACUGUGGAAAAGUCCUCCUUGAAGAUAAUUUUCAUUUGAUGGCAAGACAGGUUUGUCUUAAUUUGAUGCAAAUCAAUAUUAAUUUAUUUUCGAAUCCUUGUUAGUUCUGAAUAUUUAUUUUAAUUAACCACGAGCGUCAUUGUUAAUUUGUUAUUACUUUUUGUUUUUUUAAUUUAUGUGAUAUUAUUUGAUUAUAUAUAAAAUUUAAGGAAAAUUUAUAAAA